rnacentral:rRNA from 1 species
CCUACGGGUGGCAGCAGUGGGGGAUAUUGCACAAUGGGGGAAACCCUGAUGCAGCAACGUCGCGUGUGGGAAGAAGGCUUUCGGAUUGUAAACCAUCGUUUUUGGUGAAGAUAAUGACGGUAACCAAGGAGAAAGCUCCGGACAACUACGUGACAGCAGCGGCGGUACUACGUGGGGAGCCAGCGUUGGCCGGAUUUACUGGGUGUAAAGGGUGCGUCGGCGGUCUUGCAAGUCAGACGGGAAAACUACGGGCUCAACCUGUGGACUGCGGUUGAAACUGUGGGGCUUGAGUGAAGUAGAGGUAGGCGGAAUGCCCGGUGUAGCGGUGAAAUGCGUAGAGAUCGGGAAGAACACCAGUGGCGAAGGCAGCCUACUGGGCUUUAACUGACGCUGAGGCACGAAAGCAUGGGUAGCGAACAGGAUUAGAUACCCUAGUAGUC